rnacentral:rRNA from 1 species
UACGUAGGGUGCGAGCGUUGUCCGGAAUUAUUGGGCGUAAAGAGCUCGUAGGCGGUUUGUUGCGUCUAUCGUGAAAACCUGCGGCUUAACUGUGGGCUUGCGGUGGAUACGGGCAGACUUGAGUUCGGUAGGGGAGACUGGAAUUCCUGGUGUAGCGGUGAAAUGCGCAGAUAUCAGGAGGAACACCGGUGGCGAAGGCGGGUCUCUGGGCCGAUACUGACGCUGAGGAGCGAAAGCGUGGGGAUCAAACAGG